rnacentral:rRNA from 1 species
UUGACCUCAAAUCAGGUAGGACUACCCGCUGAACUUAAGCAUAUCAAUAAGCGGAGGAAAAGAAACUAACAAGGAUUCCCUUAGUAACUGCGAGUGAAGAGGGAAGAGCUCAAAUUUAAAAUCUGGCAGUGUUUUGCUGUCCGAGUUGUAAUCUAGAGAAGUGCUGCCCGUGCUGGACCGUGUACAAGUCUCCUGGAAUGGAGCGUCACAGAGGGUGAGAAUCCCGUCUUUGACAUGGACUGCCAGUGCAUUUGUGGUGUGCUCUCAAAGAGUCGAGUUGUUUGGGAAUGCAGCUCUAAAUGGGUGGUAAACUCCAUCUAAAGCUAAAUAUUGGCGAGAGACCGAUAGCGAACAAGUACCGUGAGGGAAAGAUGAAAAGAACUUUGGAAAGAGAGUUAAACAGUAUGUGAAAUUGUUGAAAGGGAAACGCUUAAAGUCAGUCGUGUCGGCCAGGGAUCAACUCAGUUUUCUUUGCUGGGUGUACUUCCUGAUCUGAUGGGCCAACAUCAGUUUUGACUGCUGGAGAAGGAUAGAGGGAAUGUGGCACCUUCGGGUGUGUUAUAGCUCUCUGUCGGAUGCAGUGGUUGGGACUGAGGAAAGCAGCAUGCCGCAAGGCCGGGUUUCGACCACGUUCAUGCUGAGGAUGUUGGCAUAAUGGCUUUAAUCGACCCGUC